rnacentral:tRNA from 1 species
AUUUUUACCGACUAGCAAUUAUAUUGCAUAUUUAUAUUCACCUCGAGUCUUCAUAUGUCGCACUUUAGCAAAUUAAAAAC